AUGAUGAAACAAAAUAUUUGUGGGUCAGGUCUGUUUCCCCCCCUUCUUCAACACAUCCAACUGUGGGAACCUAGAGAGGAAAUCUUAUUUCUGCUUGACCCUUGUAAGAGGGUGCAAGAUAGGCUAAAAAUCUGCACGGUUUCAAAAAGUGACUGGAAGAAAAAAUCCACUGAAGAAAAUCCUCGGAGGAAAAAAAUCUGUCACAUAGAAAGAUUCCUCCUCAGUUUGAGGAAAUCCUUGAACCACAAAUAGCUGCAGGCUGGGAAGUCAUCCUGGAAGUGAAAUAUACCAAGGGCUGGAAAGGUUGAUACUAAAAAUAACGGUGACCUGGAUGUACCAAGUGUAGCAAGAGGAAUGGCUCCUGCCUUCUUGCAGUGGGUCUGCCUGCGAAGCACAGGGACAUCUUUGGGAAUGGGAAUGACAGUUGCAGGCAUGAGCUGCGUGAUCCCCGACAGAUCAAUUUUUAUAACUUUAGAACAAUGAAAGAAGCAUAACAUAUUAUAAAUUUAAAUUACCCUGCAUGAUCUUAACUCUACAGAUGCAAAGGUCAUUAAAUAAUGUCAUUCUCAGCCGUACGCCACAGGGAGCUAUCUAUCACAUAUUAUCUAGCAUUCCGAUGGAAGUAAAAAUGAUUAAUUUUUACUGUCUCUUGUAUAAUUUACUUAUUAAUGUUACGUGCAGGACAAUAUGGGCUUGAUAAUUUGGCUAAAUGCAUAUUGAAACUGAGCUUUGUAUUUUUCUUUGAAGAGAAAUCUGUUACAGCUAAUGCAUGCUAGUAAUAAAAUCGUUUAGAUGUAAAAACUUGGUUUGAGU
rnacentral:lncRNA from 1 species